rnacentral:lncRNA from 1 species
AUCCUCGUUUUGUGGAGGCAUAAUAUAGAGAAUUACUGUGAAACAGAGGAUGUUUCAAAUAAACAAGGUGCGGCGAGAGGUGACCAGUUGGCAAGUUCUGAAAGCUCUUCUUUGUGGCGAUAAUACCAAAAUAUCAAGUUGUCUUUAUCUUUAUUUUGAUACUUAUGGGCCUAUUGAAUUCUCUUUUUCCCUGUUUCUUUCUUAGAAUUUGUUUUUGUGGAAUAUGGUUUUUAUUAUUUGUUUUCUUUAUUAUUGAUAGGAAUUCUCUUGUUAAGACCCUAUGAAUCGAUUAAAACCUCAGAUUCAUACUAGAUUUGAUACUUAUGGGCCUAUUGAAUUCUCUUUUUCCCUGUUUCUUUCUUAGAAUUUGUUUUUGUGGAAUAUGGUUUUUAUUAUUUGUUUUCUUUAUUAUUGAUAGGAAUUCUCUAGUUAAGACCUUAUGAAUCGAUUAAAACCUCAUAUUCAUACUAGAACCACCUUGAUUCAAUAAAAAAAACUAACCUAAAUCAAAUCAAGGAUUCCCUGAGUAAGAAUCCAUUUGCUGUUUGGAGCAUAUUUCUGCUUCCU